CACGUAGGGCCAAGCGUUGUUCGGAAUUACUGGGCGUAAAGCGAGUGUAGGCGGUUUGGAAAGUCGGAUGUGAAAGCCCCGGGCUCAACCCGGGAAGUGCACUCGAUACUCCCAGCUAGAGUAUCGGAGAGGUUGGGCGGAAUUCUCGGUGUAGGAGGUGAAAUUCGUAGAUAUCGAGAGGAACACCGGCGGCGAAGGCGGCCAACUGGACGAAUACUGACG
rnacentral:rRNA from 1 species